rnacentral:tRNA from 1 species
CAAGAUGUAGCUAUAAACCCUAAAGCAUUCAGCUUACACCUGAAAGAUAUCUUUCCCCAACAAGAUCAUCUUGA